rnacentral:rRNA from 1 species
UUUUCCCCGGGGGUUGUCUGCAGUAGUCAUAUGCUUGUCUCAAAGAUUAAGCCAUGCAUGUCUAAGUACAUGCCGCAUUAAGGCGAAACCGCGAAUGGCUCAUUAAAUCAGUUAUGGUUCCUUGGAUCGUACUUUACUACUUGGAUAACUGUGGCAAUUCUAGAGCUAAUACAUGCAGCAGAGCUCCGACCUUCGGGGACGAGCGCUUUUAUUAGACCAAAACCGAUCGGGCCUCCGGUCCGUGAAACGUGGUGACUCUGUAUAACUUUGGGCUGAUCGCACGGGCUCGUCCCGGCGACGUAUCUUUCAAGUGUCUGCUUUAUCAACUGUCGAUGGUAGGUUACGCGCCUACCAUGGUCGUAACGGGUAACGGGGAAUCAGGGUUCGAUUCCGGAGAGGGAGCCUGAGAAACGGCUACCACAUCCAAGGAAGGCAGCAGGCGCGCAAAUUACCCACUCCCGGAACGGGGAGGUAGUGACGAAAAAUAACAAUACGGGACUCUUUUGAGACCCCGUAAUUGGAAUGAGCACACUCCAAAUCCUUUAACGAGUACCCAUUGGAGGACAAGUCUGGUGCCAGCACCCGCGGUAACUCCAGCUCCAAUAGCGUAUAUUAAAGUUGUUGCGGUUAAAAAGCUCGUAGUUGGAUCUCAGUGCGAGACGGACGGUCCACCUACCGGUGGUCACUGUCCGGUCUCCACACCAGCCGGUUUCCCUGGAUGAUCUUCACCGGUUGUCUUGGGUGACCGGCAAGUUUACUUUGAAAAAAUUAGAGUGCUCAAAGCAGGCGCGACGCCUGGAUAAUGGUGCAUGGAAUAAUGGAAUAGGACCUCGGUUCUAUUUUGUUGGUUUUAGGAACACGAGGUAAUGAUUAAGAGGGACAGACGGGGGCAUUCGUAUUGCGACGCUAGAGGUGAAAUUCUUGGACCGCCGCACGACGACUACGCAGA